rnacentral:rRNA from 1 species
GACGUGUUGUUCUUACUCAGGCAGCAGCAGGAGCUUCUGACGCAACUCCGCGCGCUCAUCCUGCCGGCGCUUCGCGAUGCCGACAGCAGGUCGGCCGACCUCGCCAUCUGCCUCUUCGACGACGUGAUCGACUGCAUCGCCGGUGUCAUGUCCAGGCUUAAGGGGAUCAGUACCCAAGCAGGCGGUCGUCGACCGCCGACGGCCUUCGACCUCAUAGGCGUUGAUGUAAUUACGCCCAACGCCGGCGAAGGACAAGAGGAGAAGCCCAUGAUCAGCAAUGUUGGUCAGAAGAGAAGGAGAAACAACGACAAGCGAUCAAGAUCUCUUGUAACAGUUGUUCCACAUUAUGAUGGCCAUCAUUGGAGAAAAUAUGGGCAGAAGAACAUUAACAGGAGGGAACAUGCCAGGAGCUACUACAGAUGCGCCUACACAGAACGGAAUUGCCCAGCAACCAAGACAAUUCAGCAACAGGAUCAUAACGUAACUAUUAAUUGUGAAGAGGAAACUGCAAAGUACAUUGUUGUGUACUACGGUCAUCACACUUGCUGCGACGCCAACACUAGCAACGGCGGGAAGAAUGACCCUGGCAUGGACCUAAUUCAAAAUGGCAAAAUGGCGGGAGCAGUAACAGAAUUCCAAAAGUUCGACCCAGGGGACGUGGACAUGCCAGCUCUAAUAGAGGUGCUUGACAAUCCUGAGCUGAACUGGGAC